ensembl:lncRNA
AAAAUGUGACAAGAGAGAAGCUUAUAACUGCAGUGUCCGGUUUCCCCAUUAUUUAUGAUGCUUCUCUGGCUUCAUACAGAGAUACAAUUCUAAAACUGUGUGCAUGGAAGGUUUCGGAGAUCGUUGGGAUCACGGCGCCCCCUGGACAUUUCCCCCCGAUUGACACCAGGUCGACACCAGGGGCAGAAUAAUCAAGCAAGCAUUCUGUUUCUUCCAACACCAAGGGCUGCACUUCACUACAACGUGUUAGGCGGUGUCUUCAGCUUAAAGAGCUCUACAUCAAGGAUACAUAAAUAUUCAAAGCGAUCAAAAUGUUCUGCUUUUAUAUAUUCAGCCAUAAAAUAUGCAAAACUAUUCAUACUGAAUUCACACCUGCACAUAAUAUGUUGUAUAUAUUUUUAAGUAAACAAAAAGCAUAAUGAAUGUCAUGCAAAAUACAUUUAAAUGCUUUACAAAUGUCUGUGCUCUAUAGCAUGUUUCUUUUAGGCAUGUGCAGGUCAUAAUAAUAGUACCAAAUGUUGAAAGGCUGAACUACACUCCUUGUGGAUUGUCAUGUCAUACAUUUACCUUCAUGUUGGACAAAAGAAGAAUAUCACUGUAGAAAAGGCAAGGAAGAAUGUACUAAAUAAAUGGUAUAUUAAUGGUAGUUAAUUGUAACAUUAGUAGUUAAUUAGGAGAUUGUAUUGUCAUAAGGACUGCUGUACCUCUGCCCACUGGCCAAGGGAAGCAGUGCUCUGAGGAGAAGUUUAGACAAGCAGCAGUCAUUAAAUGUCCAGUUACUUGUGUCUUACAGUACUGUAGUUGACAUCCUUUGUUUGGACAAACAAAGC